rnacentral:rRNA from 1 species
UACGUACGGGAGGCAGCAGUGGGGAAUUUUGGACAAUGGGCGCAAGCCUGAUCCAGCCAUGCCGCGUGUCUGAAGAAGGCCUUCGGGUUGUAAAGGACUUUUGUUAGGGAAGAAAAAGGAGCGGUUAAUACCCGUUUCUGCUGACGGUACCUAAAGAAUAAGCACCGGCUAACUACGUGCCAGCAGCCGCGGUAAUCGUA